rnacentral:rRNA from 1 species
UAAACUGGGGAUUAGAUACCCCACUAUGCUCAACCUUAAACAACGAUGACAAUAUACAAAUAUCAUCCGCCAGGGGACUACGAGCGUUAGCUUAAAACCCAAAGGACUUGGCGGUGCCUCAAACCCACCUAGAGGAGCCUGUUCUAUAACCGAUAAUCCACGUUAAACCUCACCAUCCCUUGCCUAAACCGCCUAUAUACCGCCGUCGCCAGCUUGCCUCUUGAGAGAUUAAAAGCAAGCCUAAUGGGUUCUACCCAAAACGUCAGGUCGAGGUGUAGCGAAUGAGAUGGAAUGAAAUGGGCUACAUUUUCCGGUACAGAAAAACACGAAAAGUGCCAUGAAAUAAGCACGACUGAAGGUGGAUUUAGCAGUAAAAAGAAAAUAGAGAGUUCUUUUGAAACCGGCUCUGAGGCGCGUACACACCGCCCGCCCGUCACCCUCA